GGGUGUGUAUAGAGUGGCGAACGGGUGAGUAACACGUGACCAACCUGCCUCUUACAUUGGGACAACCAAAAGAAAUUCUGGCUAAUACCAAAUACUCCGCACAUAUCACAUGAUGUAUGCGGGAAAGCUUUUGCGGUAAGAGAUGGGGUCGCGGCCCAUUAGGUAGACGGCGGGGUAGAAGCCCACCGUGCCGAUGAUGGGUAGCCGGGUUGAGAGACCGACCGGCCACAUUGGGACUGAGAUACGGCCCAGACUCCUACGGGAGGCAGCAGUGGGGAAUAUUGCGCAAUGGGGGAAACCCUGACGCAGCAACGCCGCGUGCGGGAUGAAGGCCUUCGGGUUGUAAACCGCUUUCAGCAGGGAAGACAUCGACGGU
rnacentral:rRNA from 1 species